rnacentral:rRNA from 1 species
AUCUAUGGCCAUGCUACCCUGAACAAGCCAGAUCCCAUCUGAUCUCGGAAGCUAAGCAGGGUCAGGCAUGGUUAGUACUUGGAUGGGAGACCACCUAGAAAGACCAGGUGCUGUAGGUG